CGGCGGGGCCCGGCCCGCCUUGAAUCGCGGGUCUUCGUGCCGUGCGAGCGCGGCACUGCUGCGCGGAACAGCGGCUCCCGCCGCCGGCAGCGCUGGGAACGGAGUGCGACAAACGUGCCAGAUUCAAGGCCUCUCUGAAGCUACCACAAUGCUGUUCCUCAAAGUGGGGAAGGAAGGAGUCUACCAGGCAAAGGCUAAAUGCAUAGUUAGCAGGUCUACAGGAGUCUCCCUGCAUAGCAGCGUGCAGAAGGAAGAACAGGACGAGCACAGGACAUAUCUCCAGGCUACCUCACCUAUUUGGUUGGAAUUUAUGAUAACAUUACCUUUUACUCACACCCUUUCAAUACAUUGCACCUUUCCACUGACUUCUUUGGCAGUCAUCUCUAGAUUUUAUUUUUAGUGCAUACAGAUGACAACUACAUGAAGGUACAGCAGUAUUUUUACCUACAGCACCUGCAUGUUCCCAUGAAAAGCACACAAGGGCUUUUACAGCCCUACAUCAAAUUACUUCCACUUGUGCUGAACAGAAUUCCUGUAAUACGUAUUUUCUCUAACGAGGGGUCCUGUCACAGUCCCCACCAUCACAGCUACUGUAAGACAACACCAAUGCCAUGCCAACUACUCCAUGUUUAUCAAGGGUAUCUGUGGACAUUACUUUCAAGGACACUUACGCAUUCCAACCUCUUUUUUUGCAGUGGUACCACGUAGCCUAAAACACAUUAUUACUUGCUGAGGAAUGGUUCUCCUAUCUUCCAUAUAUAUUGCUCACCACUUUUUUGGACUUUUUUUUUGAAGUGGCUAGGUUCACCACAGAGAGACAGACGAGCAUAAAUACUUUUCCCAGAUGUGGUUGUGGAAUGGAGAACAGAAUGGAGCAACAGAGAACUGUGAUCUUCAACAAACAAAAGAUUCCAUAAUUCUGAGGGAGGAG